rnacentral:rRNA from 1 species
GCAGUCGAGCGCGGGAAGCAAGCAGAUCUCCUUCGGGAGUGACGCUUGUGGAACGAGCGGCGGACGGGUGAGUAACACGUGGGCAACCUACCUGUAAGACUGGGAUAACUCCGGGAAACCGGGGCUAAUACCGGAUGAAACAAAGCGUCGCAUGACGCAAUGUUAAAAGGCGGCAUAUGCUGUCACUUACAGAUGGGCCCGCGGCGCAUNAGCUAGUUGGUGAGGUAAAGGCUCACCAAGGCAACGAUGCGUAGCCGACCUGAGAGGGUGAUCGGCCACACUGGGACUGAGACACGGCCCAGACUCCUACGGGAGGCAGCAGUAGGGAAUCUUCCGCAAUGGACGAAAGUCUGACGGAGCAACGCCGCGUGAGUGAUGAAGGUUUUCGGAUCGUAAAACUCUGUUGUUAGGGAAGAACAAGUGCCAUUCGAAUAGGUUGGCACCUUGACGGUACCUAACCAGAAAGCCCCGGCUAACUACGUGCCAGCAGCCGCGGUAAUACGUAGGGGGCAAGCGUUGUCCGGAAUUAUUGGGCGUAAAGCGCGCGCAGGCGGUCCUUUAAGUCUGAUGUGAAAGCCCACGGCUUAACCGUGGAGGGCCAUUGGAAACUGGAGGACUUGAGUACAGAAGAGGAGAGUGGAAUUCCACGUGUAGCGGUGAAAUGCGUAGAGAUGUGGAGGAACACCAGUGGCGAAGGCGACUCUCUGGUCUGUAACUGACGCUAAGGUGCGAAAGCGUGGGUAGCGAACAGGAUUAGAUACCCUGGUAGUCCACGCCGUAANCGAUGAGUGCUAGGUGUUAGGGGGUUUCCGCCCCUUAGUGCUGAAGUUAACGCAUU